rnacentral:rRNA from 1 species
CUAGCAUAUCAAUAAGCGGAGGAAAAGAAACCAACAGGGAUUGCCCCAGUAACGGCGAGUGAAGCGGCAACAGCUCAAAUUUGAAAUCUGGCCCUCGGGUCCGAGUUGUAAUUUGGAGAGGAUGCUUUUGGCGCGGCGCCGUCCGAGUUCCUUGGAACAGGACGCCAUAGAGGGUGAGAGCCCCGUACGGGCGGCCGCCUAGCCUUUGUAAAGCUCCUUCGACGAGUCGAGUAGUUUGGGAAUGCUGCUCAAAAUGGGAGGUAAAUUUCUUCUAAAGCUAAAUACCGGCCAGAGACCGAUAGCGCACAAGUAGAGUGAUCGAAAGAUGAAAAGCACUUUGAAAAGAGGGUUAAAAAGUACGUGAAAUUGUUGAAAGGGAAGCGCCUGUGACCAGACUUGCGGCCCGUGGAUCAUCCGGUGUUCUUCACCGGUGCACUCCGCGGGCUGCAGGCCAGCAUCGGUUUUCCUAGGGGGAUAAAGGUCGCGGGAACGUAGCUCCCUCGGGAGUGUUAUAGCCCGUGGCGUCAUGCCUCUGGGGGGACCGAGGACCGCGCUUCGGCAAGGAUGCUGGCGUAAUGGUCACCGGCGACCCGUCUUGAAACACGGACCAAGGAGUCAAGCAUUGGGGCGAGUGUCUGGGUGCCAAACCCGCACGCGAAAUGAAAGUAAACGCAGGUGAGAGCUUCGGCGCAUCACCGACCGAUCCUGAUGUCUUCGGAUGGAUUUGAGUAAGAGCCUUACCGCUUGGACCCGAAAGAUGGUGAACUAUGCCUGUAUAGGGUGAAGCCAGAGGAAACUCUGGUGGAGGCUCGCAGCGGUUCUGACGUGCAAAUCGAUCGUCAAAGUAUGGGCAUGGGGGCGAAAGACUAAUCUAACCAUCUAGUAGCUGGUUACCGCCA